rnacentral:rRNA from 1 species
CCGUAACUAUAACGGUCCUAAGGUAGCGAAAUUCCUUGUCGGGUAAGUUCCGACCUGCACGAAUGGCGUAAUGAUGGCCAGGCUGUCUCCACCCGAGACUCAGUGAAAUUGAACUCGCUGUGAAGAUGCAGUGUACCCGCGGCAAGACGGAAAGACCCCGUGAACCUUUACUAUAGCUUGACACUGAACAUUGAGCCUUGAUGUGUAGGAUAGGUGGGAGGCUUUGAAGUGUGGACGCCAGUCUGCAUGGAGCCGACCUUGAAAUACCACCCUUUAAUGUUUGAUGUUCUAACGUGGACCCGUAAUCCGGGUUGCGGACAGUGUCUGGUGGGUAGUUUGACUGGGGCGGUCUCCUCCUAAAGAGUAACGGAGGAGCACGAAGGUUGGCUAAUCCUGGUCGGACAUCAGGAGGUUAGUGCAAUGGCAUAAGCCAGCUUGACUGCGAGCGUGACGGCGCGAGCAGGUGCGAAAGCAGGUCAUAGUGAUCCGGUGGUUCUGAAUGGAAGGGCCAUCGCUCAACGGAUAAAAGGUACUCCGGGGAUAACAGGCUGAUACCGCCCAAGAGUUCAUAUCGACGGCGGUGUUUGGCACCUCGAUGUCGGCUCAUCACAUCCUGGGGCUGAAGUAGGUCCCAAGGGUAUGGCUGUUCGCCAUUUAAAGUGGUACGCGAGCUGGGUUUAGAACGUCGUGAGACAGUUCGGUCCCUA